ACGUUUUAGCUCCCCGUUGGAAAAAGUCAUGAUGAUUGGUUUAUUUUUCCGCCGAGUUCCCUCCCUCCUUCUCCUCUGUUCACCGCCGCGACUCGGCACUAUCUCUAUUCAGAGAAUGUAACCUUUCUAAUUGUAUGGAGAUUUCGUCUCUGUAUGUAGACUGUAUUUGUUUUUUUUUUUGUAUGUGAUGUACACACUCACACUGAUAGGGUAUAAAAUUGAUUCCGAACCUCUAAAAACAAAUCUGGUAGAUAGAUAGUGAUAGCCUUCGUUGAGACUUCCUCGAUUAUCUUGACAAGUCCAUUUCUCUAGGGCUCGUGAUGGGGUUGGACUCUCUCUCACUGAAUUCACCUUUUUACGCUUUGAUUUGUUUUUUUCAGAGAGAUAUUGUAAGCAUCUCAAUUCUCAAAGGAUUCAAUAAACAAUCUUCUCACACUGACUGAGGUAUUCAUUUGUUCAUUUAGUCUCAUCUGAUGAUAAAAUUGGUUUGUUGCUGUGUAAAGGAUAUAUAUGUCUGCUAUUGAAUUCAAUUCAAUUUCAACAUUUUUGACAUCAUUACUACAAUCUGAGACUGGAAACUUAGUAACUUUGAUAGACUAGUUGUAGUGUCUCUGGUAGUGAAUAAGGUUUUCUUUCUUAUUGUUCCCCAGCACUUGAGUUAUUUGGAGAGUCUUGAUGCCAAUUUGAAUGACUUAACAAAAUUGAUUACUAAUUUUAUUUGAUCCAGUUAGAAAGUGGGUCACCUGGUGUCGCAGGUGAGGACUGCACAAAUGGCACAGCCCGAGAGAACUUGAAAGGAGCCUGAAACACCACGUAUGAAAGGCUUAUACUGGACUGCAAUGUGCCUAGUAACUAACUCGACCAGACUGGUAUAAAUCGUAUUGCUAGGUUUUAUAUUCAGUUUGCACAAAGUGAGAAGUGGAAAUCGGAAA
rnacentral:lncRNA from 1 species